UCCGAGAUGGUGUCUUAGUAGUCCUCACUAUUUUGUUAAAUAGUGUGAUAAUAAAUGUAAUGAGGACUAAAUUGAGUGUGGAUAUUGUCUAGAUGACAAUAUUUUAUUAAAACUCACAACAUGUAUUUUGUCGUAUUUUACACGACUAUUGUAUAAUCAAGUUGUAUUUGAAUUUAGUACCAUAUAUUUCGCGACUCAUGUGAG
rnacentral:lncRNA from 1 species